ACGAACGCUGGCGGCGUGCUUAACACAUGCAAGUCGAACGGAAAGGCCCUGCUUGCAGGGUACUCGAGUGGCGAACGGGUGAGUAACACGUGGGUGAUCUGCCCUGCACUUCGGGAUAAGCCUGGGAAACUGGGUCUAAUACCGGAUAGGAGCCAUUUUUAGUGUGAUGGUUGGAAAGUUUUUUCGGUGUAGGAUGAGCUCGCGGCCUAUCAGCUUGUUGGUGGGGUAAUGGCCUACCAAGGCGGCGACGGGUAGCCGGCCUGUGAGGGUGGACGGCCACACUGGGACUGAGAUGCGGCCCAGACUCCUACGGGAGGCAGCAGUGGGGAAUAUUGCACAAUGGGCGCAAGCCUGAUGCAGCGACGCCGCGUGGGGGAUGACGGCCUUCGGGUUGUAAACUCCUUUCGCGAGGGACGAAGCUUGUUGUGACGGUACCUAGAUAAGAAGCACCGGCUAACUACGUG
rnacentral:rRNA from 1 species